rnacentral:lncRNA from 1 species
UUCCUCUAUGCCCACAACACCAUUCAUUUCUUCACAUGUCCUUCCUCUCAAUUCUCCAUUUUCUUUUCUCUCUCCUUUUAUCUUCACUUCUAUUUCCAGUAUCAUCAUUUUUCUCAAAACUCUCUACAAUAGAGUUUACAACAACAAAAGACCAAUCUUUACACUUAUUUCUCAAAAGGUUUUUGGUUUCCAGAAGAAAAAAGAAAGUUGGGCAGAAGAAAAAAGAAAGUUGGGCAGAAGAAAAAUUGAGAUAAAAAAGAUUUAUGCAUAAACCAUACUUUGUUUCAGAAUAUAUUCAUUCUUACACUUAAGCAUUUUCUUAUAUCUUGCAUAAAGUAUUAAUUUUUCCACCGUUGACUUUAGAUGGCUGUUGGGUAAGGGCCUCUCCAGAUUGGGCAUAGAGGAACUGAAACACCUGAAGCAAUCUAGAAUACAUGUCUUGUUGACAUUUUGUGUGGAUUUAAGCCUAUUUUAAAGGUAUGAUAACACAUAAAUCAUUUUACCAUGACAGACUUGGUAGUAAAUGUUUGUUAAUAAUAAAUCAAGUUUCCUGUAUUGAAAGAAAAUCUCUUAUUUAUUUUUUAUGAUCUUUCUAUAUGCAAAAAAAGAUAUAAGCUCUUAAUUUGGUAAUUUAUUAUAGCAUUGCUUGGUUAUUUACUUUGGCUUUUUUGUUGUGCAGUGGAUAUCAUGAAUCCAAAAUCAACUUUAAUUCUAUGGAAUGCAAAUAUUGACAUGUUCCAGAGAUGAAUGAGGCUAGAAAUUGAUAAAUGAGUGUGUAUUGAAGUCACUGAUCCUCCAAGAUAUGAAUCCAGAAUCAACUUUAGAACACUCCUUAGCUUGACUUGUUCUUUAUUGUAAAAAAGGUUUUGCAGCAAAACCUGUUGAUUAGUACUCAGCACAAAUGUUAUGUAACUUUUUCCUCAAGAUUUGCAUUGCAUCAUUGUGUUCACAUAUGA